rnacentral:rRNA from 1 species
CGGACGGGUGAGUAACACGUGGAUAACCUACCUAUAAGACUGGGAUAACUUCGGGAAACCGGAGCUAAUACCGGAUAAUAUAUUGAACCGCAUGGUUCAAUGGUGAAAGACGGUUUUGCUGUCACUUAUAGAUGGAUCCGCGCCGCAUUAGCUAGUUGGUAAGGUAACGGCUUACCAAGGCAACGAUGCGUAGCCGACCUGAGAGGGUGAUCGGCCACGCUGGAACUGAGACACGGUCCAGACUCCUACGGGAGGCAGAGCG